AUUGUCAAGCUACUAAGAGCCGUUGGUGGAUAAUUUGGCGCUUAAAGGCGAUGAAGGACGUGGCAAGCUGCGAUAAGCUUCGGGGAGUUGCAAGCGAACUUUGAUCCGAAGAUUUCCGAAUGGGGCAACCCUACAUCAAUCAUGAUGUAAACCUAUCCUGAAUGCAUAGGGGUAGGUGGCGAGACGGGGAGAAUUGAAACAUCUUAGUACCCCCAGGAAAAGAAAGAAAUUCGAUUUCGUCAGUAGCGGCGAGCGAAAGCGAAAUAGCCUAAACCUGAUAGAUGCCAAGCUUCGAGGCGUUGUCUAUCAGGUGUUGUGGGGCUCAGCGGUCGGAGGCUCGAAUCUCCGGCGGAAAGAAAUCUUGUCUAACUUUAGCAGAGCAGUCUGGAAAGACUGGCCCAAGAAGGUGACAGCCCUGUAUGUUAAAAAGUUAGAUACUUUCCGGUUGAGUACCCCAAGUACUACGAUCUAAGAGGAACUUCGUAGGAAUCCGGGAGAACCAUCUCCUAAGGCUAAAUACUAUUAAGCGACCGAUAGUGAACAAGUACCGUGAGGGAAAAUUGAAAAGAACCCCGGUUAGGGGAGUGAAAUAGAACUUGAAACCAACUGGCUUACAGGCGGUGGAAGGGCUAUGGCUUCUUCGGAAGCAAUGCCUAACUGCGUGCCUUUUGCAUAAUGAUCCGGCGAGUUACUAAAUGCGGCAAGGUUAACCACUUGAGGGUGGGUAGCCGAAGCGAAAGCGAGUCUGAACAGGGCGUUUAGUCUCAUUUAGUAGACCCGAAGCUGAGUGAGCUUACCAUGGCCAGGAUGAAGCGUGGGUAAAACCACGUGGAGGUCCGAACUGAUGUGAGUUGAAAAUCGCUCGGAUGAGCUGUGGUAAGGGGUGAAAGGCCAAUCAAACUCAGUAAUAGCUGGUUCUCCUCGAAACAUGUUUAGGCAUGGUCUAGUGCGGUAACUAUCGGAGGUAGAGAACUCAAUGGGCUAGGGGACUUACCCGUCUACCGAACCCAAGGAAACUCCGAAUGCCGAUAGUGUAAUCACUGGAAUCAGUCAGUGCGGGAUAAGCUGCAUUGGCGAGAGGGAAACACCCCAGAUCGCCGACUAAGGUCCCUAAAUCAAUGCUAAGUGGUAAAGGAUGUAGAAAUACAUAGACAACCAGGAUGUUGGCUUAGAGGCAGCCACCAUUUAAAGAGUGCGUAACAGCUCACUGGUCAAGUGUUUCUGCGCCGAAAAUGAUCGGGGCUCAAGCAUUGUACCGAAGUCGCGGGCUCCAACUCCCCUGCGGGGCGAGUGGAGCGGUAGAGGAGCAUUCUAAGGGCCAUGAAGCGGAACCGAUAAGGAUCCGUGGAGCGCUUAGAAGAGAUUAUGCCGGAAUGAGUAGCGAUAAAACGGGUGGAAAACCCGUUCGCCGUAAGCCCAAGGGUUCCCGGGGAAGGUUAAUCCGCCCGGGGUUAGUCGGUCCUAAGGCAAGGCCAGGUAGGCGUAGCUGAUGGAAAGCAGGUUAAAUAUUCCUGCACCAUUAACAUUGCGUUACCAACCCAGAGGUGCCGAGGAGGCUAGAUGAUCGCGCGAUUGGAAGUGCGCGUCCAAGCUUGUAGUUUUGCCGCAAGGCAAGAUGAGGAGUGUUAGAGAGCUCAACCUACGGGAAGAGCGAAUUCAUCGACGCCACACUUGCAAGAAAAGUCUCUGUGGUGAGUGGUGUUAAUGUCCGUACCCUAAACGGACACACGUGGGCGAGUAGAAAAUACUAAGGCGCUCGAGCGAACUCUCGCUAAGGAACUAGGCAAAAUGGCCCCGUAACUUCGGGAUAAGGGGUGCCUGAGUAGGCUGAACGUCAAGGGAGGCCGAAAAGGUUGCAAUGAAAUGAGUCAAGCGACUGUUUAACAAAAACACAGCUCUCUGCUAAGUCGACAAGACGAUGUAUAGGGAGUGACACGUGCCCGGUGCUGGAAGGUCAAGCGGAGAGGUUAGCCGUAAGGCGAAGCUUCGAAGUUAAGCCCCAGUAAACGGCGGCCGUAACUAUAACGGUCCUAAGGUAGCGAAAUUCCUUGUCGGGUAAGUUCCGACCUGCACGAAUCGUGUAACGACUUGACUGCUGUCUCAGCGAGCAGCUCGGUGAAAUUGUAGUAGCGGUGAAGAUGCCGCGAUCCCGCAGUUAGACGGAAAGACCCCGUGCACCUUUACUGUAGGUUGGUAUUGAAUUUUGGUUUUGUGUGUGUAGCAUAGCCGGGAGACUUUGAAGCUGUGGCGCUAGCCAUAGCAGAGUCAUCAGUGAAAUACCGGUCUCAUUGAACUAGAAUUCUAAUUCCGCUCCGUGAAUCCGGACGGAUGACAGUGCCAGCUUGGCAGUUUGACUGGGGCGGUCGCCUCCUAAACAGUAACGGAGGCGUGCAAAGGUCUGCUUAGUGCGGUUGGCAAUCGCACGGUAAGCGCAAAAGCAAAUUGCAGGCUUGAUUGCGAGUCACACAUGACGAGCAAGGUGGAAACACGGCUUUAGUGAUCCGGUGGUUCAAAGUGGAAUGGCCAUCGCUCAUCGGACAAAAGGUACGCCGGGGAUAACAGGCUUAUCGGGCCCAAGAGUUCAUAUCGACGGCCCGGUUUGGCACCUCGAUGUCGGCUCAUCGCAUCCUGGGGCUGGAGAAGGUCCCAAGGGUCCGGCUGUUCGCCGGUUAAAGCGGUACGUGAGCUGGGUUCAGAACGUCGUGAGACAGUUCGGUCCCUAUCUGCUGUGGGCGUAGGAAACUUGAGGAGAGCACUUUCUAGUACGAGAGGGCCGAAAGUGACAGACCGCUCGUUUACCAGUUGUUCCGCCAGGAGCAGCGCUGGGUAGCGAUGUCUGGGAUGGAUAAGCGCUGAAAGCAUCUAAGCGCCAAGCCGACUCCAAGAUAAGGUUUCCCAACCGGUUUUCGGUUUAGAAGACCCCUCGAAGACCACGAGGUUGAUAGGCAGGAUGUGUAAGCACUGUAAGGUGUUCAGCUAACCUGUACUAAUCGGUCGUUCGGCUUGACAUU
rnacentral:rRNA from 1 species